rnacentral:lncRNA from 1 species
AGAUGUUUGGUCAAACAUCAGUCUAGAUGGUGGUUUUUAGAUGUGACUAACAUUUAAAUCAGUAGGCUUUGAGUAAAGCAGAUUACCCUCUAUAAUAUGGAUGGGCCUUAGCCAAUCAGUUAAAGGCCUUAAGAGAGAAAAGACUGACGUCCCCUGAAGAAGAAAGAACUGUCUCCAGACUGCCUUGGGACUUGAGCUGCAACAACUCUUCCCUGGGCCUGCAGCCUGCUGGCCUGCCCUGCAGAAUUUGGACUUGCCAGCCACCAGCCCAC